AUUCCCUCAUCAUAACACCAUCAUCACCAUUCACCAACCUCUCUCUCUCUCUCCUCUAUCACUCUCUACAACAAAAAUUUGUGAAUCUGCUAAGAUCGAUUAUCAUGAGGG
rnacentral:misc_RNA from 1 species